GUUUAUUUUAAUUAAAUAUAACUCCUAAGUUCAUAUAAACUGAAGAAAUCAGAAUUUAACUUGCAUAUAUUCAAUGAUACAGCUUGAUUGUGUGGAUUGAGCACUUUUUGAGCUUUCAUUUUGACCUGUGUGAUUAUGUAAAACCACAUGGUGCUUUGUGUUCACUGCUGUUCGCUGACGCCAUUUUGGUUGCACGUGCCUGUGAAAGACAAAAAGAGAGAGAAACACGUGAAUGGACAGCUGGAUUUUCCUAAUUGAUGGCGAGCCUCCCAUUUCGACCUGAUUGGAUCACGAAUCUAGAGGAAAGGACAAUUUUCUAUUUUAAAUAUUUUUCUUCAGACAACCAUUGCUGUAAUGUGCCAGGUGUACUUGCAAUAAUCAGAGAAAGUGCGCCAGAGUCAAAUCACACAGACAGCACAACUCCUGGCUGCAGCUGAAGGAGGACGAUUGAUUUCUGGCAGUUCGUCUUACCAUUGCUUGUAAGCUGGAUUGGGUAAGAUGGAUCAUCUUUAAAGGCACCAGGAGUUAAGGCAGAUGUGGAGGCACAACGGGUGAUACCAGACACACACCAAGCACAUUAUGUUCGGACAUUCAAUCAUGACAUGAUCCAGGUGGAUGCUGUCCAUUGAUGAAAGAAUUUGUUCCGAGGUUUCUGGAUAGAAUUAAUUCCAAAGAUGGGAAAAAGUGCACAUCCAGACAAGGAGCAAGCAAAAAGACAAGGAACUUGGUGCAGAGAAAAGCUGUGGCCAUUAACCCCCAUGUGAACAGCUUCAUGCAGUCCCUGAUUGAGUUCGAAUGGACGACUUCAAAGUAAAGGCCACUGUGGUCUGUCUGCCACAGUUUAAUUUUUAAUUUAUUUUUAGUGUUAAAUGAAAUUCAAGUAGAAUAUUUAAAACUAUGGGCCAGUGUUGUUUUUACCACAGUGAAAUGUUACCUUUUAGUCGAUGAUGGACAUUAAACUGAAAACUUCAAACUAUGGAACAGUGUUCUAUUUGCCAGAGUUAAAUAUGUUACAGCAGGGGUCUCCAAACUUGUUUAUACU